rnacentral:rRNA from 1 species
AAUUUUUUAAUUAAUAAAAAUUAAAAUGUAUAAAUUUUAUUAAUUAAAUUAAUAAAUUAAAAAAAUUUUUAAUAAAUUUUUAAGUAAAUUUUUUGAAAAAAUUAAAUGUUUUAUAAUAAAUUAGUAUAGAAAUAGAAAUUUGAAAAAUUAGAAAAAUCUAUUAUUUUUAAGUAAAUUUAAUUAAUUGUAUCUUGUGUAUCAGAGAUUAUUUAAAUAAAAUUAUAUAAAUUUAAUUUUUUCGAAAUUAAAAGAGUUAAUAAAUUAUAUUUAUUUAUUAUAACAUAAAUAUUAAUAAUAAUUUAUUUGAAAUAAAAUGUUAAACGAUUUUAAUUAUAUCUAAUUUUUAAAGAAAAAAAUUAAAUUUUUUAAUUUUUAAAUAAAUAUAUUUUUUAAAAAAUAUAUUUAAUUUAAAUUAUUAUAUUUAUUGGGAUAAGCUAGUAAAUAAAUUAUUAAAUUUAAUUAAUUUUAAAAUUAAAUUUAUAAAAAUAAAAUUAUUUAUUAAUUAUAUUUUUUUAUAAAAAAUUUAUUUUUUAAAAAAAUUUAAAUUAUAAUUGAAUUAAUUGUGAUUUAUUUAAAAAUUUUUUAAAAUAUUUUAAAAAAAGAAAUAAUGAUAAUAUUAGUAUAUAAAUUUUAAUAAAAUUUAAAAAAAUUAUUAAAUAUAAAUAUUAAGAAUUCGGCAAAAAUUUAUAUUCGCUUGUUUAUCAAAAACAUGUCUUUUAGAAUUAAUAAUUUAAAGUCUAAUCUGCCCCCUGAAAAUUAUUUUAAAGGGCUGCGGUAUUUUGACCGUACAAAGGUAGCAUAAUAAUUAGGUUUUUUAUUGAAAUCUUGAAUGAAUGAUUGGACGAGAUAUGAGCUGUUUUUUAUUUAUAAAAUAAAAUUUAAUUUUUUAGUUAAAAAGCUAAAAUUUUUUAAAAAGACGAGAAGACCCUAUAAAUUUUUAUAAUAAUAUUUUUUUAAAUUUUUUUAAAAUUUUAAAAAUAAAAUAAAUAUAAUUAUUUUAUUGGGGCGAUAAAAAAAUUAAAUAAACUUUUUUAAAAAAUUAAUUUAAAUUAUAAAUUUUUAUUUAUAAAGAUUUAUUAAUAAUAAUUUUAAGAUUAAAAUACUUUAGGGAUAACAGCGUAAUUUAAAUUUUAAGUUCUUAUUAAAAUUAAAGUUUGCGACCUCGAUGUUGGAUUAAAAUUUAAUUUAAAUGCAAAAGUUUAAAUUUUAAGUCUGUUCGACUUUUAAAAUUUUACAUGAUCUGAGUUCAAACCGGUGUGAGCCAGGUUGGUUUCUAUCUUUUAAUGUAAAUAUAUAUUUUAGUACGAAAGGAAUAUUUAUUUAAAUUUAAAUUUUUAUAUUUUAUGAUAAAAUUUAAAAAAAAAU